rnacentral:misc_RNA from 1 species
GAUGAAGAAUGUAGCGAAAUGCGAUAAGUGAUGUGAAUUGCAGAAUUCAGUGAAUCAUCGAAUCUUUGAACGCACAUUGCGCCCGCCAGUAUUCUGGCGGGCAUGCCUGUUCGAGCGUCAUUUCAACCAUCAAGCCCCAGGCUUGUGUUGGGGACCUGCGGCUGCCGCAGGCCCUGAAAACCAGUGGCGGGCUCGCUGUCACACCGGGCGUAGUAGAUUUUAUCUCGCUCAGGGCGUGCUGCGGGUUCCGGCCGUUAAAAAGCCUUUUUUACCCAAGGUUGACCUCGGAUCAGGUAGGAAGACCCGCUGAACUUAAGCAUAUCAAUAAGCGGAGGA